GACGAACGCUGGCGGCGUGCCUAAUACAUGCAAGUAGAACGCUGAAGGAGGAGCUUGCUCUUCUGGAUGAGUUGCGAACGGGUGAGUAACGCGUAGGUAACCUGCCUGGUAGCGGGGGAUAACUAUUGGAAACGAUAGCUAAUACCGCAUAAGAGUAGAUGUUGCAUGACAUUUGCUUAAAAGGUGCAAUUGCAUCACUACCAGAUGGACCUGCGUUGUAUUAGCUAGUUGGUGGGGUAACGGCUCACCAAGGCGACGAUACAUAGCCGACCUGAGAGGGUGAUCGGCCACACUGGGACUGAGACACGGCCCAGACUCCUACGGGAGGCAGCAGUAGGGAAUCUUCGGCAAUGGACGGAAGUCUGACCGAGCAACGCCGCGUGAGUGAAGAAGGUUUUCGGACCGUAAAGCUCUGUUGUAAGAGAAGAACGAGUGUGAGAGUGGAAAGUUCACACUGUGACGGUAUCUUACCAGAAAGGGACGGCUAACUACGUG
rnacentral:rRNA from 1 species